GCUGGGCGUGGUGGCUCAUGCCUGUAAUCCCAGCACUUUGGGAGGCCGAGGUGGGUGGAUCACCUGAGAUCAGGAGUUUGAGACCAGCCUGGCCAACAUGGUGAAACCCCAUCUCUU
rfam:Pan troglodytes isolate Yerkes chimp pedigree #C0471 (Clint) chromosome 10, whole genome shotgun sequence.